AUUCCUAAAAAAACAAAAGUAAAAGCAUUGUCAGGGACGAGGAUAGCCUCUUAUCCUGCUGCGAAGCGAUUGCAAUCCUGUAUUGGGAAAACCUUAUCCCUACAUCGCUUAAACCCUAAUUCCCGUUUUUGACCUGUCGUAGGUCCUUUCAAAUCUGAUUCCGAGUCCUGAGGUGAGUUUUUUUACUCGUUUUCUUUUGCGUCCUCUGUCGUGGAUAUCAUAAUCACCUUCUUUUGAAACUUCAAUUACCGAGUUAAAUUAAUCAUAGUUAUAUAAUUUGUUAUGCAUGAUCUGAAUUGAAUUUUCCACACAGUUGCAUCCGCAAUUUCUGUUGAUUCAUCUCCUUACUGGAUCCUGAAACUAUACAAACAAAAGAGGCUAUGAUGUUUAGAAAUGUUUUGUAAAAAAGAGGUUAAUCCAACUUGGUUGCUAAGAGCCAUUAGCGGGCUUUUCAGUUAGAUGCCUUUAAGCUUGAACUGGGUUGCUAAGAGUCAGCAAGAAACAAACAGAAGUUNNN
rnacentral:lncRNA from 1 species